UACAGAGGGUGCAAGCGUUGUUCGGAAUUAUUGGGAGUAAAGCGCGUGUAGGCGGCUUUGCAAGUCGGGUGUGAAAGCCCUCGGCUCAACCGAGGAAGUGCGCCCGAAACUGCAGAGCUUGAGUACCGGAGAGGAUGGCGGAAUUCCCCAAGUAGAGGUGAAAUUCGUAGAUAUGGGGAGGAACACCGGUGGCGAAGGCGGCCAUCUGGACGGAUACUGACGCUGAGACGCGAAAGCGUGGGGAGCAAACAGG
rnacentral:rRNA from 1 species